rnacentral:rRNA from 1 species
UUACGGCCAUAUUACGUUGAAACAUCGCUUCUCGUACGAUCACUGAAGUUAAGUAACGUCGAGCCUGGUUAGUACCCAAAUGGGUGACCACUUGGGAAUACCAGAUGCU